rnacentral:lncRNA from 1 species
ACCGCGGGCACGGGAUCCCACCUGUGUGCUGGGGGUUCCUGCGUGCCGCGGGCAGCAACAGCGUGCGGUUGCUGAAGCGAGCUGGAAAUAAGGGAGAUGAGUUACAAGGGGCAGUAGCCGGGAGGAAAUAAAAAAAAAAUAAUUAAAAGCUGAGGGAUUCUCCACAGCCCCCGUCAACAGAAUCUCCAAGUAAAGUUACAGGAUGCAGAUACAGGUUUUAACUACAGUGAACCUGCUGCUGAAGCAUCUCUUCAGUGCCUUUUCUUCCCCACCUAUUGAACUGCAUUUUCCUCGGCACAUCUACUCAGCACUACAGGAACUUUCAUACAUGCUAGAGUGUUUCUCAUGAGUGACUCAAAUGGAAAUGGAAGUUGAUCCCUACGACAUGUGGUCCCCUACACUUGUCUCUGCAUACAGGAAAGCUGGACACUCAGCCCAGGUGUUGCAAGAAGAUGAGCAGGAAGCCCAUCCUGCACCAGACAAGCUAGAAUGUUCUGAUAAACAUUUUCAGAGGACAAUCUGUGCUGGAGUUGGAAUAUGCUUCCUGUCGUUCAUCAGAAGAACUGGCAAGCAAGCAAGGCUGACAGAUGUAGUUCAGACUUAUGAGGAUUUCCUGAAAUUCCCAGGAGGUGUGAUGAGUGCACUUCUUCUUCCAAGACUGCUAAUGAAAAGCCACAGCGUUCUGGAGGAGGUACAGAUGGCUUCUGAAGGAUGGUUGUAUGAUGCUUCAUUCAGUGGGAUUCCGACUCAUCAUAGCCAGCCUGCUACCUCAGAGACAGGAGCUGAUGUUUCAAGCAUGAUCGUGGAGCUGAGCACCUUCUGGAGCAGUCACGCUGCAUCUUGGAUGAAUACCAAAGCUGCUGGGCGUUCAGCACUGAGACAGUCUCCAAGGGAGCUGGGAAUGCAUGACCCAGGAAGACCCACAGCUCCAGAAUUCACCAGGAAGCACAGCAUCUCUUCUUUCAUCUCAGGCUAGCUAAAACCUUUCCAUUAGAGCAGGGUUUUCCUAAUCAAAUACCUCUGUGGCAAAAGAUGGUUUGAGAAUUCAUGAUUUAUGUGUUAAAAGACUGAAGAAAGGGGCCUCCUACUAAACAUUCUGUUUCUUUAUCCUGCAUAACCAUACCUUCCCCAUAUUCAUGCUUUGAUGUAGAUAACAGAAAUGAAAUAAAAGUGGUAGAGAUAUUAUGAUUUUUAAUGUU